CCUACGGGUGGCAGCAGUGGGGAAUAUUGGACAAUGGGGGGAACCCUGAUCCAGCGACGCCGCGUGAGUGAAGAAGUAUUUCGGUAUGUAAAGCUCUAUCAGCAGGGAAGAAAAUGACGGUACCUGACUAAGAAGCCCCGGCUAACUACGUGCCAGCAGCCGCGGUAAUACGUAGGGGGCAAGCGUUAUCCGGAUUUACUGGGUGUAAAGUGAGCGUAGACGGUGAAGCAAGUCUGAUGUGAAAGGUCGGGGCCGAACCCCCAGACUACAUUGGAAACUGUUGAACUCGAGUACAGGAGAGGUAAGCGGAAUUGCUAGUGUAGCGGUGAAAUGCGUAGAUAUUAGGAGGAACACCAGUGGCGAAGGCGGGUUACUGGAAUGUUACUGACGUUGAGGCUCGAAAGCGUAGGGAGCAAACAGGAUUAGAUACCCUAGUAGUC
rnacentral:rRNA from 1 species